UUGUAGCAAUACAACUGGCGCACGGCGCACGGGUGCGUAACACGUGGGUAACCUGCCCUUUGGUGGGGAAUAACUCCGCGAAAGCGGAGCUAAUUCCGCAUAAGAUCCGCAAGGAUGAAAGCCGCAAGGCGCCGAAGGAGGGGCCCGCGCCCGAUUAGCUAGUUGGUAGGGUAACGGCCUACCAAGGCUUUGAUCGGUAGCUGGUCUGAGAGGAUGAUCAGCCACACUGGAACUGAGACACGGUCCAGACUCCUACGGGAGGCAGCAGUGGGGAAUCUUGCACAAUGGGCGAAAGCCUGAUGCAGCGACGCCGCGUGGGGGAUGAAGCAUUUCGGUGUGUAAACCCCUUUCGAUCCGGACGAAACCCCGCAAGGGAUUGACGGUACGGAUAUAAGAAGCCCCGGCUAACUACGUGCCAGCAGCCGCGGUAAGACGUAGGGGGCCAGCGUUGUUCGGAAUUACUGGGUGUAAAGGGUUCGUAGGCGGUGCGGCAAGUUGGGAGUGAAAUCUCUGGGCUUAACCCAGAGGCUGCUUCCAAAACUGCUGUGCUUGAGCGUGGGAGAGGCGCGUGGAAUUGCAGGUGUAGCGGUGAAAUGCGUAGAUAUCUGCAGGAACACCCGUGGCGAAAGCGGCGCGCUGGACCACUACUGACGCUGAGGAACGAAAGCUAGGGGAGCAAACAGGAUUAGAUACCCUGGUAGUCCUAGCCCUAAACGAUCAGGACUUGGGGUGCCACCCGUUCGGGUGUCGUCCCGGAGCUAACGCGUUAAGUCCUGCACCUGGGGAGUACGGUCGCAAGACUGAAACUC
rnacentral:rRNA from 1 species